rnacentral:misc_RNA from 1 species
UCCUGCCACAGUCCUCCUGCUGCCCA